rnacentral:lncRNA from 1 species
AAAGAGUAAGAAAGAAUAGAGUAAAUUUUAAGUUGGGGACUUAAGGAACCAAAGAGGGGGCUGCUAUUAAAGAGAAAGCAGGACGUGGCUUAUUAGACCAUAGUCGGUGUGACUCAGCCAAAACAAGCAUGAAGUGUUUAUCUAAUAAAGCACUAGCAGUAUACUAAGCUAUGUUUGAUAUAGAGAGAGUGAUUAGAAGAAAACAUUCUCAAUUCUCCAUACCUAUUUCAUUCGUUCCACACCUCCUUAUUCUCUCUUUAUAUUGCCGAAUCCAUGUUCUCCCAAACCUUUGUCCAAAAAUUUCUUGGUCACAGCUGCAACCAUCGAAUUUAUGAAGAUGAUAAAAUUAUAAAAUGAGCUAGGAAGAAUUGAAAGCAUCAAAUAGGUGUUAGAGCUGAUGAUUUCAAGCUAAGAUGUAAUCAAAACAAAAAGGUAAAUCGGGAACAUUUAUUAUUACAAUUGUUUAUGUUGAUUGAAUUGAAAUUUUUGGGUAUUGCUAAGGAAGUUUUGUGCAGAUGAAUAUGGAGUUAUAAGGGUGGAAAAAUUUGGGCUUAACCACCUUUAAACAUCUAUGAAUCCUGUCCUUAAAACUAACGCGCAUAGAAUGUUUGAUUAAUUGUCCAUUAGAGACUGUUAAGCUCGAAGAGAGCAAUUAUGGUAACGAAGUGAUCAAGAACAUCUUCAUGCAUCUUAUAUGAAGUGAAUUGAAGGAUUUAUAUGAGUUAAUUUAAGUUGGAAAUCUAUUAUUAAGUAAAAGGCCUGCUGGUGCUUAGUUUGAAAAAACUGUCUCGACAGAGCAGUUUUGGCCAUAUGUUAAACAUGUCUAGAAUGUCCAAAUUUGCUGGGUUAUAUAUAUAUUUUUUUAAAAAAUAGUAUUAUAUACCUUCUAUAAAAUGUUUAAGUUUGAUUGAAAAAUUGGGCAUGUGGUUUGAAAUUGCUAAAGUGGGCUGCUAGAAGUGAGUUGUAGCAGCUAGCAUGGGCUUGACUUGCUAGGUAGUUUGGAUGUGUUUUGAGCCUUGGCUAUAUGUCAAUAUUGACCACGAUAUGAUAGAUAUCUUAUUGAUAUUUCUUAGUAUGCUGAGAAUGUAAUGGAAAUCUUUAUGUUAUGAACUGAAUUG